GAUGAACGCUGGCGGCGUGCCUAAUACAUGCAAGUCGAGCGAACGGACGAGAAGCUUGCUUUUCUGAUGUUUGCGGCGGACGGGUGAGUAACACGCGGAUAACCUACUUAUAAGAGUGGGAUAAUAUCGGGAAACCGGAGCUAAUACCGGAUGAUAUUUUGAAUCGCAGGGUUCAAAAGAGAAAGACGGUCUUGUGGUCAUGUAUAGAUGGAUCCGGGCUGCAUUGGUUAGUUGGUAAGGUAACGGCAUACCAAGGCAACGAUGGUUAGCGGUCGUGGGAGACUGAUCGGCCCCCUUGGAACUUGACCCGGUCCCAGCCUCCUACGGGAGGCACCAGGGGGGAACCUUCCGCAGCGGGGGAAGUCCUACCAAAGCAACGCCGCGUAGGUGAUGAAGGUCUUGGGUUCGUAAAACCCUGUUAUUGGGGAAGAACAUAUUUGUAAGUAUCUGUGGACGUAUUGACGGUACCGAAUCAGAAAGCCACGGCUAACUACGUG
rnacentral:rRNA from 1 species